rnacentral:rRNA from 1 species
GAUGAACGCUGGCGGCGUGCCUAAUACAUGCAAGUCGAGCGAACGGACGAGGAGCUUGCUCUUCUGACGUUAGCGGCGGACGGGUGAGUAACACGUGGAUAACCUACCUAUAAGACUGGGAUAACUUCGGGAAACCGGAGCUAAUACCGGAUAAUAUUUUGAACCGCAUGGUUCAAAAGUGAAAGACGGUUUUGCUGUCACUUAUAGAUGGAUCCGCGCCGCAUUAGCUAGUUGGUAAGGUAACGGCUUACCAAGGCAACGAUGCAUAGCCGACCUGAGAGGGUGAUCGGCCACACUGGAACUGAGACACGGUCCAGACUCCUACGGGAGGCAGCAGUAGGGAAUCUUCCGCAAUGGGCGAAAGCCUGACGGAGCAACGCCGCGUGAGUGAUGAAGGUCUUCGGAUCGUAAAACUCUGUUAUUAGGGAUGAACAUAUGUGUAAGUAACUAUGCACGUCUUGACGGUACCUAAUCAGAAAGCCACGGCUAACUACGUG